ACGCGUCGAACCUUACCCGGGCUCAAACGGGAGUGGAAUGGACCAGAGACGGUUCAGCCUACGGGCCGCUUCCGAGGUGCUGCAUGGUUGUCGUCAGCUCGUGCCGUGAGGUGUCGGCUUAAGUGCCAUAACGAGCGCAACCCCCGCCGGCAGUUGCUAACGGGGCAAUGCCGAGGGACUCUUCCGGGACUGCCGCCGCAAAGGCGAGAGGAAGGCGGGGAUGACGUCAAAUCAGCACGGCCCCUUACGU
rnacentral:rRNA from 1 species